AAUGAACUGCAUAUUAAAAAAGAAAAAGCUGCAGAUUGAGCCCUGGCCGUGGAUGAAGUACACAGUGGUACAAGCAUUUCUUAGAUCUGCAAUUCCAUACUGCCUCUACUUUAGCUGUUAGUGAUAAGCACUGCUCUGCCGUUUACCCACAGUCAGCUUCACUGAAACUAAACAUCAGAGGGCCUCCUGGCCAUUGAAGGUGAUCCAGACAAGAGAGGAACAAAGGAUCAGGUCUGAGACCCCUCUUCCCCCAAUCACAAAUGCCAGGAGGUUAAGGCUUCCUCAAGUCUAGAAUGUCUCUAAGGAUAACUUAGUCCUACAUAUUUUACCAGCAAGCAUGGUCCUGGGGAAAACUGAAAAAUCUGAAUCUGUUUAGGGCAAAUUUGGCAUUAGUUUUAGAGUUUGAAUACUAGUGUAGACUAUUUCCUAGUCUGCUUCCUCUCCCCCUUUUAGAAAAUCUUUAGGCCAUAAACUAGCUGCCCUCACCACCUUACUAGGACUUUGGUCAUCCUUGCAUUGACUGACUCCUAAGACACAGGACCUAACCAAGAGAACGGACCAGCAUGGUCCAUUUCAAACUCACCGCCAGAGAGUUUCAGAGUUACUUUUCACAACAUUCUGUGUAGCUGUGUAUUUGCACAUAAGAACUUCUGAAAAGUAUCAGAAAACUUGAAAAUGUAGAAACUGAAUGCUCCUGCUAGAAACAUGUUUGUCUGCCUGUUUGUCUCAAACACCCCCUCUUUCUUUUUAAUAGCUUGAUGCUCUAAUCUAUAUGGGAGCUGGGAAAUAUUGAAAAGAAAAUGUCUACUGAGGAAUCACUGUUUGUUCUAAGUUCCUUCACGUGCAUAUGGAAUCCUUUGAGUACCUUCUACUCAGGCUUGGCCUGAGCAAUACCAAGACCUGAAAAGAACCUGACCUUCAGGAACUGGUCAAGAAUUCUCAUGUGAAUACUCCACGGGUUACUUCAUCAGGUACAUACUUACUUGGAAAUAAGUCUGCAGUACUGCAUCUUUAGGAUCCGGAGUUGUCGGCAGCCCAUUUCAAGGUUCUCAAGCAUUUGGUCAGUAAGCAGGAUACAACCAGAAACAUCCAAAACGUGCAG